GAGCAUCCGCUUGCUGUCAGGCCUCGGCAUUAAAACUAUCUCCAAUGGUUGUUCCUGUUUGCUUUCUCUUUCUUGAUGGACCAGAUUCCACAUAGGGAGGCAAUGGAAGUGUAUGCCUACCUAUACCAUGUUCAAUGAGUUCAUUGGCUGCCCUAUCCUGCUUGCAAAGUUGUUCAAAUGCAGGCUGUGAAAUUUUGUCACAAGUUGCUAUAUCCUUUUUUUUAUCUGAAGCAGAUGAGCCUUCACUCUUGAAUAGGUGCCUGGAUAAGUUUUGAGGUAGAAAUUGCACUUGAAUUUGAUGUUUCCUCCACGGCUACCGGACGAAGAAGCACCGGUUUCAUUGACAACUCUCUGAACAUAAGCCCGGAGAGGAUAUUUGGGAUCCACCCCACCAGGUCCAUGUUGCCCUCCGUCACUCUCACCCACUGAUGAUUGGCUCCCAGAUGUAGCUCCAUGGCUCCCAGAUGCAAUGUUCC
rnacentral:lncRNA from 1 species